CUCCAUUUCUUUUGUUAUGGACCUGGCACUUUCUGAUCAGUUCCUUCCAGUUCCAGUGCCUUCUUUGACUUACUGAUCACUCCAGAGGUUUAAAUAAGCUCUGUUUCCGAUCACUCUGGAGGUUUAAAUAAGCUGUUUCUGAUCACUCCGGAGGUUUAAAUAAGCUGUUUCUGAUCACUCUGGAGGUUUAAAUAAGCUCUGUUUCUGAUCACUCUGGAGGUUUAAAUAAGCUGUUUCUGAUCACUCCGGAGGUUUAAAUAAGCUCUGUUUCUGUUAGGGAAAAUGAGUGCUCAGUUUAUGGAGGUCAUAGCUAUGUCCCCUACCAUGAAUGCAGAGACAGUUGAUAACUUUACCUUGAAAAUAUUGAAUGUCAUGGCCGUAGUUGCACUGGCAAAAGUCAAGAAAACUUUGCGCAAACAGAAAGCACUAUGGAGAAACAAGCACUGAAAGGAGAAUGCAGGAAGCUGAACGCAAAUAGAGAAUAACUAAACAUCAAAUCCACUAUGGCCUCUUUAA
ensembl:lncRNA